CCUGCCCAGUGACUCAAUAGUUCAACGGCCGCGGUAUCCUAACCGUGCAAAGGUAGCAUAAUCAUUUGCCCAUUAAUUGUGGGCUAGAAUGAAAGGAUCAACGAAAUAUAAACUGUCUCUAUAAGCUCAAUAAAAAUUAAUAUCUAACUGAAGAAUGUUAGAUACUGUUGAAGGACAAGAAGACCCUAUAGAGCUUAAUUUUAAUAAAAACUUAAAUUUUACUAAAAUUCGGUUGGGGCGACCUGGGAAGUUAAUAAUCAUCCCAAAUACAAAGAUUUAUUAAUCAACUAUAUGACCCUUUUAAGAUCUAAAAAACAAGCUACCUUAGGGAUAACAGGCUAAUCUAGCUAAAGAGUCCUUAUCAAUAGCUAGGUUUGGCACCUCGAUGUUGGCUUAGGGGAUCAAUACGACGCAAAAGUCGUAAUAAGAUGGUUUGUUCAACCAAUAACACCCUACGUGAUCUGAGUUCAGACCGGA
rnacentral:rRNA from 1 species